CUGACCACCAGGGGGUGCGUUCGGAACAUGAUGGGAGCCACAGUGGGAUGGCUGGGAGGGGGUAUGGAGGAUGUGUUGAGACCUACCCCUGUGCCCAUUGCAGCCUUGUGGCCCACAGUUCCUUUCAAGGUGCACAAAUUCAUGCACUGGGCCCCUAG